rnacentral:rRNA from 1 species
AUACGUAGGGUCCAAGCGUUAUCCGGAAUCACUGGGCGUAAAGCGUGCGUAGGCGGGAGUUUAAGUGAGAGGUUAAAUCGUGUGGCUCAGCCAUAUCGAUGUUUCUCAUACUGGACACCUAGAGGACGGCAGAGGCAAGUGGAAUUGGCAGUGUAGCAGUGAAAUGCGUAGAGAUUGCCAGGAACACCAAUGGCGAAGGCAGCUUGCUGGGCCGAACCUGACGCUGAGGUACGAAAGCGUGGGGAGCGAACAGGAUUAGAUACCCGGGUAGUCCACGCCGUAAACGAUGGGUACUAGGUGUAGGAGGUAUCGACCCCUUCUGUGCCGUCGUUAACACAAUAAGUACCCCGCCUGGGGAGUACGGUCGCAAGACUAAAACUCAAAGGAAUUGACGGGG